AACGAACGCUGGCGGCAGGCUUAACACAUGCAAGUCGAGCGCCCCGCAAGGGGAGCGGCAGACGGGUGAGUAACGCGUGGGAAUCUACCCAUCUCUACGGAAUAACGCAUGGAAACGUGUGCUAAUACCGUAUACGUCCUUCGGGAGAAAGAUUUAUCGGAGAUGGAUGAGCCCGCGUUGGAUUAGCUAGUUGGUGGGGUAAAGGCCUACCAAGGCGACGAUCCAUAGCUGGUCUGAGAGGAUGAUCAGCCACACUGGGACUGAGACACGGCCCAGACUCCUACGGGAGGCAGCAGUGGGGAAUAUUGGACAAUGGGCGCAAGCCUGAUCCAGCCAUGCCGCGUGAGUGAUGAAGGCCCUAGGGUUGUAAGGCUCGUUCACCGGUGAAGAUAAUGACGGUAACCGGAGAAGAAGCCCCGGCUAACUUCGUGCCAGCCGCCGCCGUAAUAC
rnacentral:rRNA from 1 species